GUUUCGAGGAUAUUUCUUUGAACCUUCUGCGUUUCCUUUUCCCCUAAUAACUGUGUACCUUUUAAGCUUGAUGGAGGUGCAGUUUAUAACUCUUUGAGCAUUAUCCAUGAAGCGUGCUACAGGAAUACAACAAGAAGAGCUACCUCAUCUAGCAAAUUAUCCAUGAAGCGUGCUACAGGAAUACAACAGGAAGAGCUACCCCAUGCAUCUAGCAAAUUAUCCAUGAAGUGUGCUACUGGAAUACAACAGGAAGAACUACCCCAUCCUGCAUCUAGCUGGACCGAGCUGCAAAAUAAUCCACCGAGUCGAGUGAAAACAGGGCAUAGUCUAUCAAGAUAUGAUAGUUUCGAAAUUGGAAACUGAACUGAGGUAAUUGUGUUAUGUUGUAGUUUGAGUUUAUUUAUUUAUUUAUUAGGCUUUGCCAAAUCAACUUAAAAUCACUUGCUAUACCUA